rnacentral:lncRNA from 1 species
UUCACGGCCAGUGGGCAAGAAUCUUCUCCAAGCUACCCAUAGCCAUGUUCGUCAUAUCUGAAAUGGAUGGUCAGAGUUGAUGAUGGAGUCAAGCCCAAGAAACAGAGCAGCCCAAGGAAAAUGUACAGGGCUGCUGUCUGGCAAACUCCACCCUUGCCUUCUCUGCACCCAGAACUUUGAACUGUCCCCUGGAUGCUAGGAUUCCACCCCUGCCAGAAUAGAACGCACGGCCAGUUCCUCGAUAACAAGGCAGGACCCUGUAAAAGUCAACAGCACUCUGUAGGGAAUCAACCCCAGUUUUAUUCUUUCUUGGCUGUGUGACUCUGGCAAAUGUGUCACCUUCCUGAGCCUCAGCUUCCCUACUUACAAAAUAAGGGUGAUCAUAAUUGUAGUACUGACGAGGACUGUAUGCCCAAUGCAGGCAAAACACUUAGAACAAAUGCCAGACCCAUAGGACAUGCCUGCCACAUACUAACUAUAAUAAUGAUGAAUUUUCUGUAUUGUCUCUUUAGGUCUUACAUCUUUAAAGCAGCAAGUCUGUCCCCUUCGUGCUCAUUGAGAAUAUCUGAUACCUUCAUGUUUGGACUCAUCCAGCCCCCAUCUCCUCAGUCUAUCUCAGAUCUGACAGUGGAGGCUGCUUUGUCCAGGACCAACCUUUUCUCUUGCCUCAUUUCUGUUAUGCCAGCUGAUGAAGAGCAUGCUAUGCCCUCAGCUUCUUGGACUUCACCCUGGCCCUGGAAGUCUGCCGGAAAUCACUGAGGGUUUCUGUAUUGUUGAAUGAUGCGAUCUGCCUUCCUUUGGGAAGAUAACCUUGUCCUGGGGUUAGGAAGAGGAGGAAGAGCUCUACACCCACCUGAUCUGUUCUGGAGCCAGACUUCCUUGGUUCAAAUCCCAAUUCUGCCACAUACUACCUCCGUUACUUUGGGGAAGGGGAGCUCUUCCAGGCCUCUGACUUGUGAAGACAGACACUGCAGAGGACUUUUUGCUGAGAAAAGAAGCUGAAUGAAGGGAUGGAUGUCUUUAAAAGGCCCGGUCUUGGGGGUCCAUCACCUCUCUAAGAACCAUCUUCAUCUCCUCCUCCUCCUCUGUGCCCUUCCAGGAAAAGAGGAGCAGACUCCUCUGCUCCCAGGUGGAGAAAAGCAUGAAUUCUUUAAAAUACUUUGAGUGUAGAGUAUGGGUGUGUGGAAGACUUCCUGGAGGAGGUGAGAUGAUCUAAGGGAGGCACGUUGCUCUUGUGGGAUGGAGCAGAGCAUUCAGGGUGGAGAUUCCUGGAUGAUAUGGACAGAGGCAGAGUGAAGUUUCACAUUUUGGAGGAUGGAUAUAGCUGGGCUGCUUUGAAAGAGACAUGUCAAGAUGGAAGUGGACCCAACAUAAAAGUUAGUGGACACAACACAAAAUUGAGUGGCAGGCAUCAAUGAUUUGGAUCAGUCACCCGAGCACAUUCCCUGGAAUUCCAGCAAGUUCACAGAAGGGAUUUUCCUUCUUCAAGCCCCUCUCCCUGCCCUGCCAAUUCUUGACAGUGAUGUUAAACCACACCUGCUUGGCCCCUGAGACAUCUCUCACCUGCCCCGGGUCCUACAGGAAGAUGAACUGCCAAGGUGAAAAGGCUCACGGCAAGAGCGUGUGUGUCCUGGGUGUGUGCCAACUUAGAAUCACAAGAAAAAGUUAACUAAGAGAUUCAUGGGACAAUGGUUACUGUCAACAAACAUUUGGUGGAUGGUCACACAUUUGGUUCUGACUUGUCCUCUGGAGAUCAAGGAAUUAGAACGGAGACAGAGGUGGGAGUUUCUGAAAAGAGGAGUUUAAUUUUAAUGUAAAGAAUAACUUCCAGUGGGCAGAACUUGAACAUUGAACCUUGAAAUGGAUAGGAUGAGCUGCUUCGGAGGUCCAAGAGGCAUGGCACUGCAGUUGUCUAAGCAGGCAAUCAACAGCACUUGCCAGGGACAAUGAAUAGGAGAAUCCAGCCGUAGUGUGUGUGUGUGCGUGUGUGUGAGAGAGAGAGAAGUGAAUAAAUCAUUUCAAAACAAUCACAGGACCAUUUUGUGAAAACUUCUGAAUUUGUCUAUCACAGCUGAGUACUCAUCUCAGUCUUGUGGAGACUAUCUGAAACCUAAACAGGUUCUUUGCUUCUUUGAUUUUUCUAGUUCAUACAUGCCCAAGGCUCAAUAAGAUAAACAGUCAUUUGCAGGGAGAAAACCUGGGUAUUUAUUCUUGGCUUUCUUUUGUUCUUUUCAAAAAUAGAGAUCUUUGUUUGACGAGAAACAGCAUUGCUUCUCUCUAGAGCAGAGAUCAAUAAUGGCUUUUCUGCUAGAGCUAGCAUGUAUAUUUUCUUUAUUUCCAAGGGAUCACUACUGGGAACAGGGAAGCAGAAAGCCCUCAUUCAACUGGAUGCCCUAGAACUUUUGCUUU